rnacentral:rRNA from 1 species
AUUGAACGCUGGCGGCAUGCUUUGCACAUGCAAGUCGAACGGGGUGGGGGGCAACCUUCAUUCAGUGGCGAACGGGUGAGUAAUGCAUCGGAACGUAUCCCGUAGUGGGGGACAACGCCGCGAAAGCGGCGCUAAUACCGCAUAUGCUCUACGGAGGAAAGUGGGGGACCUGAAAGGGCCUCACGCUAUGGGAGCGGCCGAUGUCCGAUUAGCUAGUUGGUGGGGUAAUGGCCCACCAAGGCGACGAUCUGUAGCUGGUCUGAGAGGAUGAUCAAGCACACUGGGACUGAGACACGGCCCAGACUCCUACGGGAGGCAGCAGUGGGGAAUUUUGGACAAUGGGGGCAACCCUGAUCCAGCCAUGCCGCGUGCGGGAAGAAGGCCUUCGGGUUGUAAACCGCUUUUAGCCGGGAAGAAAAGGCGUCGCCUAAUACGCGGCGUUCUUGACGGUACCGGCGGAAUAAGCACCGGCUAACUACGUGCCAGCCGCCGCGGUAAGAC